AGGAUUGCAUGGGCGCAAGCCUGAUCAGCAAUGCCGCGUGCAGGAAGAAGGCCUUCGGGUUGUAAACUGCUUUUGUCAGGGAAGAAAUCUUCUGGGCUAAUAUCCCGGGAGGAUGACGGUACCUGAAGAAUAAGCACCGGCUAACUACGUGCCAGCAGCCGCGGUAAUACGUAGGGUGCGAGCGUUAAUCGGAAUUACUGGGCGUAAAGCGUGCGCAGGCGGCUUUGCAAGACAGAGGUGAAAUCCCCGGGCUCAACCUGGGAACUGCCUUUGUGACUGCAAGGCUAGAGUACGGCAGAGGGGGAUGGAAUUCCGCGUGUAGCAGUGAAAUGCGUAGAUAUGCGGAGGAACACCGAUGGCGAAGGCAAUCCCCUGGGCCUGUACUGACGCUCAUGCACGAAAGCGUGGGG
rnacentral:rRNA from 1 species